rnacentral:rRNA from 1 species
UACAUAGGUGGCAAGCGUUGUCCGGAUUUACUGGGCGUAAAGAGCGCGCAGGCGGUCGUUCAAGUCGAGUGUGAAAGCCCCCGGCUCAACUGGGGAGGGUCACUCGAUACUGAUCGACUCGAAGGCAGAAGAGGGAAGCGGAAUUCCCGGUGUAGUGGUGAAAUGCGUAGAUAUCGGGAGGAACACCAGUGGCGAAGGCGGCUUUCUGGUCUGCUCUUGACGCUGAGGCGCGAAAGCUAGGGUAGCAAACGGG